CCGCGGCGGAAAAGGCGCUGCUGCACUUCCCUUCUGUGCCUCAGUCGAAGGCUGCGGCGCUCGGCGGCCCCGCCAUGGAGGAGAGCAGCGGCGUCCGCCCGUCGGCCGAGUGCCUGGACGAGCCGCCCAACAGCCGCGUCUUCGUGGUGCUGGGCAAGGACACCGGCGAGGCGCUGAUCCGGGAGCGCUUCUCGCCCUUCGGGGACAUCCAGAACAUCUGGCUCCUGCGGGACAGGCGCACCAACGAGUCCCGCGGCAUCGCCUUCAUCAAGUUCGCCCGCAGCUCGCAGGCCUGCCGGGCCAUGGAGGAGAUGCACGGCCGCAGCCUGCUCCCCGACAGCAAGCCCAUCAAGGUAUUUAUUGCGCAGUCAAGAGCUUCUGGAAGCCACCGAGAUCUUGAAGAUGAGGAGCUUACACGAAUCUUUGUUAUGAUACCAAAAACCUACACAGAGGAGGAUCUGCGGGAGAAGUUUAAGAUGUAUGGAGACAUUGAAUAUUGCAGCAUUAUUAAAAACAAGACUACUGGAGAAAGUAAAGGUUUGGGCUAUGUCAGGUACCUGAAACCAUCACAAGCUGCCCUAGCAAUUGAGGAGUGUGAUCGAAGCUACAGGGCCAUUUUGGCUGAACCCAAAAAUAAGUCAUCUGAGUCUUUUGAACACGAUUAUUACAGUAAUGUCAUGAGACCAGAACUAAGAGGAAAUACGCUUCCAUUUUGUAUGCAGCCAGAAUUUUGUGGCUUUGAAAAAGCUGAGACCCGAAUUCAAGAGCCGGUCUCCAAGCGCCUGUCGGUGGUGUCUCGGCUCCCCUUUAUCCAAGAGCAGCUCUUCGCCCUCUUCGAUUUAGUUCCAGGUCUGGAAUAUUGUGAUGUUCAGAGAGACCCUCAUACCAAUAGUGGGUACGCUGUGAUUCAGUACAGCACUGCUGCCUCAGCUAUAUAUGCCAAGUACAAACUCCACGGGUUUGAGUAUCCUCCUGGAAAUCGACUAACUGUCAUUUUCCUAGAAGAUGGGAAUGACAGCUCAGACCUUAUCAGGAAGAUGGCAGCGCAGCUGGUGACGGCGCAGGUGUCGUCGGCGCUGCGCGGCAGCAGCGCCAUGGUUCAGCAGUACAGGACGCCUCCUCAAGCAUUUGGAGGAGCUUCUGCCCCACAGUUGCUGCAGCCCCAAACAGAUGCCAUACUUCCACCACCCAAAAAAAAAGUUCCAUCUGACACUGCUGUGAAAGAAAGGCUUUUCAUACUUUUUCAUCCCCAUCCUUUACCUGUAAAUGUACUGGAGGAUGUGUUCUGGUAAGACUUUGUUUACAAAUAAGUGUUUCCUAACAAAAAGGAAACAAACGAUGAAAUAUAGAAAGUAAAUAUUGAAAAUAAAAAACAGGGCCUGAAAACUCUUUCCAGAAAAGGCAGUGCACAGUAACUAUGAAGUUGUAAGUGAACAGUAGGUAACAGUUACUUUUUGAAAGAAGUGUGUAAUGGGGUUCAUGUUGAAGCAUAUCUGCAGUAUCAUCAGUAUAGCAGCUUUAUUAUCCCUUUACUUAAUCUGAAGUAAAAUGUCUAGUCUUCUAAUGUAGAUUUUUUAACAAAAAAAAAUUAGUACUUCCAGUUACUAUUUCCUAAUUAAUUUUACAUUUUCUUUUACUUAUUUUUGUAACGCAUUUAACUAUUUUGAUAAAUUUCCACAGUAACCUAGGGGGACCAAGUGUAGGGUGUUGGUUUUUUCCUGAUACACUGUCAUGGUUUGCAUCUUACCUACACUAUAUCAACUGUUCUUUGUAUCUCCCUAUGUGGUGCAAAGACUUUAGCUAAUUUUAACCGUCUUUUAAAAAAUCUGUAAUUAGCAGUUCUCCAGUAUUUUAUAUUAUUAAUUUGUAGUAUACUCUUGAAAAAAGAGACAUUUCCUUUUUCUAAUAGCUUGAAUUUGCAAUAAAUCUUUGGAAAGGCAAAAUAUUUUAAAAGCAUCGGGAGAGGAAAACAUUUUGUGUGGAAGUCAAAAUUAAACCUAUAUGAUAGAGUGGAUUUUGUUAAUCAGUUACUGGAGGAGGAAAAGGUUAUGGACCUGAGUCUUGACACUUCAGUAAGAAGCAAGCAGACAAUUUUUAAAAAUAUUUCAGGAUCUGUCUAAGAAUCUCCUGAGUACUCUCAUUUUUCCUAAAAAAUAGAGAAAAAAAACCCUGUAUUUUUCCCUGAAGCUGCAGUGCUUGCUUUCUGUGUCAUUUCAGUGAGACCUUUUCAAAGAUAAAUCACAACUGAGCAAGUUCAUUUAAGUGAGAUGCAGAUUUAGCUUCUAAAUUAUCUGUUGGAUUGGGUGUGUACAUCUUACUUUUGGUUGGUUUGGGGUUUUUUCUUGUUUUGUUUUUGUGGGGUGUUUUGAGUGCCAUUUAGUGUUUGGGGACUGUAGUAUUGAUCAGCUUUACAUAUUCUUGUAAAUAAGAGAGAGAUCACUGAUAUUUGAGGUUCUGUUGUAAUAUUUCAUAGAAGACAUCUGUGAACUUUAGGUGUUCAUUUGUUCUUCUACCCCUGAUUCAAGAGAAGGGAAUAUGCAAAUUUGGAGCAUAGAUAUAAAAAUACUGGUUUUGCAGUUAACGAAUCAUACGUGCUUUAGACUGGAAAUUUUAUUUUUAGGAAAAUCUGUAAAUUACCUUUUC